rnacentral:lncRNA from 1 species
CACAGAAACAAAGGAUGAACAAAUAUCUGGGACAGUGUCUUGUCAGAAACAACCAGCCUUGAAGGCUACAAGUGACAAGAAAGAUUCUGUUUCGAAUAUACCCACAGAAAUAAAGGAUGGACAACAAUCUGGAACAGUGUCUUCUCAGAAACAACCGGCCUGGAAGGCUACAAGUGUCAAGAAAGAUUCUGUUUCGAAUAUAGCCACAGAAAUAAAGGAUGGACAAAUACGUGGGACAGUGUCUCCUCAGAAACAAUCGGCCCAGAAGGUUAUAUUUAAAAAGAAAGUUUCUCUUUUGAAUAUUGCCACAAGAAUAACGGGCGGUGGGAAAUCUGGAACAGAGUAUCCUGAGAAUCUGCGCACCUUGAAGGCUACAAUUGAAAAUAAAGAUUCUGUUCUGAAUACAGCCACCAAAAUGAAGGAGGUACAAACAUCCACACCAGAACAAGACUUAGAAAUGGCAUCAGAGGGAGAGCAAAAGAGGCUUGAAGAAUAUGAAAAUAACCAGCCAC